rnacentral:rRNA from 1 species
AUUGAACGCUGGCGGCAGGCCUAACACAUGCAAGUCGAACGAGUGGCGGACGGGUGAGUAAUGUCUGGGAAACUGCCCGAUGGAGGGGGAUAACUACUGGAAACGGUAGCUAAUACCGCAUACCAUCGGAUGUGCCCAGAUGGGAGUAGCUAGUAGGUGGGGUAACGGCUCACCAAGGCGACGAUCCCUAGCUGGUCUGAGAGGAUGACCGGCCACACUGGACAUGAGACACGGUCCAGCGUCCUACGGGAGUGAGCAGUGGGGAAUAGUGCAUAAUGGGCGCAAGCCUGAUUCAGCCAUGCCGCGUGUAUGAAGAAGGCCUUCGGGUUGUAAAGUACUUUCAGCGAGGAGGCGUUACUCGCAGAAGAAGCACCGGCUAACUCCGUGCCAGCAGCCGCGGUAAUAC